AUUGAACGCUGGCGGCAGGCCUAACACAUGCAAGUCGACCGAGUGGCGGACGGGUGAGUAAUGUCUGGGAAACUGCCUGCUGUAGGGGGAUAACUACUGGAAACGGUAGCUAAUACCGCAUACCAUCAGAUGUGCCCAGAUGGGCUUAGCUAGUAGGUGGGGUAAUGGCUCACCUAGGCUACGAUCCCUAGCUGUUCUGAGAGGAGGACCAGCCACAAUGGAACUGAGAAACGGUCCAGAAUCAUACGGGAGGCAGCAGUGGGGAAUAUUGCACAAUGGGAGCAAGCCUGAUGCAGCAAUGCCGAGUGUAUGAAGAAGGCCUUCGGGUUGUAAAGCACUUGCAGCGAGGAGGCGUUACUCGCAGAAGAAGCACCGGCUAACUCCGUGCCAGCCGCCGCGGUAAUAC
rnacentral:rRNA from 1 species